AAUUGGCCGAACCUUAACCCUAUCUACGUUACUUACUAUAGUCUAUCGCCAACCUCGUCUCUGUAUCCCCCUCUCCCCACCAAACCCAUGAAACUCUCACUCUCUCUCGCUCUCUUUCCCAUGAAAAGCCGAUCCAAAGCCAGAACCAGAUCCGUGGCCAGGACCCUCCGCGGAUCCGGGUCAGGAUCCCGGGAUAGGAAGAAUCCAGCCCAACUGCUGAAGCUUCGAGAUGAGAAGAAAGAGGUAAGGGUUGUUCAAGACUCUCUCUGUCCACACGGUCUUGGAAAAAAAGAAAGAAGAAGAAAUUCCUGAGUGUGAAUGUUGCGGUGGUGAUGCCGGGGGUCCCCAUUAUAGUGUAAGCUGCCCGUAUCUUCUGCAACUCCCACGGACAGUAAAAAGUGUUGGCAAGGGCUUUGUUAUACUGUGUUUGCAUUGUGGUUCCAUUGAUAACGAGUGCAGGCAUGAACGAAAGCGUGCUCAUAAACCUACGUGUUUUCGUUGUGGAGUGAUCGGUGACAACUCGCACGGUGAAUGCUGAUUCAAGGAAAAAAUGGAAUUGAGACGUAGGAAAUUAGCUGCAGGCAGCGUCUAGGGACAUCGUCGUUGUCAAGUCAUUCACGGUGGUUGCUUAAUUUCCUGUCUUUUUCUUUGAGUAACUUCAGCACUAGCAAGCACGUACUUGUCUGUUCAUAUGUCUGAUUUGAUGCGUCGUCGUUCAUGCCUGGUGGAUGGAUAGAUACUAAUUGGGUUGGUUUGUGCUUAAUUGUACUUACCGGUCUUGGAAUAGCUAACGUUGGCUCUUUUUUGGCAAUUACUUAAUUACCAACAUUAAAUGGUGAACCUUCUAAGCCGCACUGAGUGAAGCGUCGUUUGACAUAUGCUUGUAGGGCUUAGCCUGCAGUCAUGUGAAAUGUCUCUGUAGGUCUUAGCCGGUCCCGGUUGGUUGGGCUCGCUCAAAAUGCCUUCUUGGACUAAUUAAGCAAGAACUUUCAGUGUUCUGGUAUUAUUCUC